GUUUAAUUUAAAUAUUAUUCUUUCUUUUUCCACGACGCCUUCCUUCAUUAGAAAUGAUCUCAUUUCUCUCUUUAUGCAAACAAUAAAUCUCUCAACUCCUCUUAUUAUCUCUAUAUCCAUUUCUCUUUUAAUGAGAAGUGUAGAGACCAAUUUACCCCUCCUCCUUUUUUCUAAUAUUCAUUUUAAAA
rnacentral:sRNA from 1 species